GUAGGAAAUGCGCCGAAAUAUGUCGCCUUCACCUUAUUCCCAGGUCUCUCCUACCACUCUCGCUCAUAGCAGCCAUCAGCCUCGACACCGCCCCAGGUCCUGCAUCCCUCUGUUGCCGGGCCCAGUGGAACAGCAUGUCCAGCACCAAUGCUCCCAGGUUGUCCCUGGUGGGGAGACCGGGACAUACACACGGAAUUUCAGAUUAUAGGUGUCCAGCUGCAGUGACCUUGAAAGUUUGAAAUUAAAUCAUGAUGCGUGAUGAGAGGUUUUCUGAGCAUGAGGAGAAGGGGAGGGCCAGAUGAGCAUCAGUCUGUGUGUAAUCUCCUGCAGUGCCCCAGAUGGCUUAGUGAUGGCUGACAGUGCAGAUUAAAACAAUCAAAAUUUUCUACCACUUCUCUCCCACUGUGGGCUUUCUUCAGUCACAUAACAUCUUACUCCAUUUUGUUCCCUAAGAGGCUUUGGCUGUGCAAACACACGCGUGCACACACUGAUUACAUCACUCACUCAUGUAGAGAUCCUUUAAGCAAAAAAUGUACAUAUUUUUCUGAACCCAUGCUGAAGUUUUACACGUUACUCUACUCUAGGUAUUGUUGGAGUUCUAUGAUAGGUUUAUUUUUAUUUUCCCAUCAUAAUUUAGCUCUGCUUUCAUGUGAAUCUGUAACCUUUUAAACUUUUUAAAAGCUUAUGCAGCACAGACAACAAUUGUUCCAACCCCAU